ensembl:lncRNA
AAAGAAAGCUUGGAAAGAGAAAUGCAGCAGGGACUAGUCACACUCUACAAGCGCUGCAUGGCAUAAAGACUUGGUCUUUUUGUGCACGCUACCCAGAAUUCCUUGUGACAUUUGUUGUGUGAAGAUUACUCACUGGCCCGUAG